rnacentral:rRNA from 3 species
CAGUAACGGCGAGUGAAGCGGCAACAGCUCAAAUUUGAAAUCUGGCUCCUUCGGGGUCCGAAUUGUAAUUUGUAGAGAGUGCUUCGGGCGAGACCUCGGUCUAAGUCCAUUGGAACAUGGUGUCAUAGAGGGUGAGAAUCCCGUAUGCGACCGUGGCUCGAGCCCAUGUGAAGCCUCUUCGACGAGUCGAGUUGUUUGGGAAUGCAGCUCAAAAUGGGUGGUAAAUUUCAUCUAAAGCUAAAUACUGGCUGGAGACCGAUAGCGCACAAGUAGAGUGAUCGAAAGAUGAAAAGCACUUUGGAAAGAGAGUCAAACAGUACGUGAAAUUGUUGAAAGGGAAGCGCUUGCAACCAGACCUGCCCGUAGGCGAUCAGCCGCUGUUCUCAGCGGUGUACUCGCUCUGCGAUCAGGCCAGCAUCGGUUUCGGCGGUCGGAUAAAGGCCUUGGGAAUGUAGCUUCCCUUCGGGGGAGUCUUAUAGCCCUCGGUGUAAUGCGGCCAGCUGGGACCGAGGACCGCGCUUCGGCUAGGAUGCUGGCGUAAUGGUUGUAAGCGACCCGUCUUGAAACACGGACCAAGGAGUCUAACAUCUAUGCGAGUGUUUGGGUGUCAAACCCAUACGCGGAAUGAAAGUGAACGGAGGUGAGAACCCUUAAGGGCGCAUCAUCGACCGAUCCAGAUGUCUUCGGAUGGAUUUGAGUAUGAGCAUAGCUGUUGGGACCCGAAAGAUGGUGAACUAUGCCUGAAUAGGGUGAAGCCAGAGGAAACUCUGGUGGAGGCUCGCAGCGGUUCUGACGUGCAAAUCGAUCGUCAAAUUUGGGUAUAGGGGCGAAAGACUAAUC